GACGGGGGCCCGCACAAGCGGAGGAACAUGUGGUUUAAUUCGAUGAUACGCGAGGAACCUUACCCGGGCUUGAACUGCCGGCGAACGAUACAGAGAUGUUGAGGCCCUUCGGGGCGCCGGUGGAGGUGCUGCAUGGUUGUCGUCAGCUCGUGCCGUGAGGUGUCGGCUUAAGUGCCAUAACGAGCGCAACCCCUCUCCGUAGUUGCCAUCGGGUGAUGCCGGGCACUCUGCGGACACUGCCACCGUAAGGUGUGAGGAAGGUGGGGAUGACGUCAAAUCAGCACGGCCCUUACGUCCGGGGCUACACACGUGUUACAAUGGGUGGUACAGAGGGCAGGCGGCCGGCGACGUCCGUCGAAUCCUAAAAGCCAUCCUCAGUUCGGACUGGGGUCUGCAACCCGACCCCACGAAGCUGGAUUCGCUAGUAAUCGCGCAUCAGCCAUGGCGCGGUGAAUACGUUCCCGGGCCUUGUACACACCGCCCGUCAAGCCAUGAAAGCCUGGGGCGCCUGAAGUCCGUGACCGCGAGGGUCGGCCUAGGGUGAAACAGGUGAUUGGGGCUAAGUCGUAACAAGGGAGCCGUACCAAA
rnacentral:rRNA from 1 species